rnacentral:rRNA from 1 species
UACGUAGGGUGCGAGCGUUAAUCGGAAUUACUGGGCGUAAAGCGUGCGCAGGCGGUUGGUUAAGUCUGAUGUGAAAGCCCCGGGCUCAACCUGGGAAUGGCAUUGGAAACUGGCUGGCUAGAGUGUGGCAGAGGGGGGGUGGAAUUCCGCGUGUAGCAGUGAAAUGCGUAGAUAUCGGGAGGAACACCUGUGGCGAAGGCGGCCCCCUGGUUGGAUACUGACGCUGAGACGCGAAAGCGUGGGGAGCAAACAGG